rnacentral:misc_RNA from 1 species
CUCGCCGCCGCUGCGCAUCGACACCGACUUCACACCGGUUGUGAUGAACCCAGAAAAGCACGUGCGCUUUUCACUCGGCGACGCGCGCGAGCGUCGCUCCGACCUCAUCAAGUCCUUCGUCUGGCCCGCGCUUAUGGACGGCAACAGAUGCGUCUUCAGAGCUGUCGUACUAACAUGACAUUUUGUUAAUAUGAAAACAACACCUCAUUAGACUUAAAUAUUACGAUCUUAAUUACAAAUUGUCAAAUUAGGAAUUCACAAAUAUUAUCCGUCGAAAAUGUUAAUAAUAUUUUUGGUUUAUACCCUGGUGUACCCUGGAAACUUUUAUCCACAAUGUAAGAAAAGGUUUUUUGAAGUGAAACAUCUUUAAGCAAGUUUGACUUGAGAGCGUUACGAAAAGUAUGAUUGGGCGAGGCGAACGCAGCAAGAGAGAGAGAGAGGUGCAAGCGCACAUUUUCUUUCUCUUUCAUAGCCAGUUAUGUUUCGUAUAUCUAAGACGCAGUGUAGGCCUAUUGUGCAAAAGUUUUACUUUAGUCACGAAGUCUAAAAAAAAUCUUUUUUUUUUCUAUUUAAUAUAACGAUCUGUAGAAUUUUAACUUUAUCAAAAUUGUCUAUAACGUCAUUAAAAUUAAAUUUUUCAAAUUCAAC